ACCUGGGUGGCUCUGUCAGUUAAGCACCUGACUUCGGCUCAGGUCAUGAUCUCACCCAGGUUCAUGGGUUUGAGCCCCACCUCAGGUU
rnacentral:tRNA from 1 species